UACAGAGGUGCCGAGCGUUAGGCGGAAUCACUGGGCUUAAAGCGUGUGUAGGCGGAUGCCUAAGUACCUUGUGAAAUCCCACGGCUUAACCGUGGAACUGCUCGGUAUACUGGGUGUCUUGAGCCACUUAGGGGUUACCGGAACAAAUGGUGGAGCGGUGAAAUGCGUAGAUAUCAUUUGGAACGCCAAUGGUGAAAACAGGUAACUGGGAGUGCGCUGACGCUGAGACACGAAAGCCAGGGGAGCGAACGGG
rnacentral:rRNA from 1 species